rnacentral:SRP_RNA from 1 species
GCCGGGCGUGGUGGUGCAUGCCUGUCAUCACAGCUACUCGAGAGGCUGAGGUGGGAGGAUCGCUUGAGCCUGAGAGGUUGAGGCUGCAGUGAGCUAUAAUGGUGCCAGUGCACUCCAGCCGGGGUGACAGAGCGAGACCCUGUCUCAAAAAAAAAAAAAAAAAAAGACAUAGGAAAUUCCAAUGGCCUCGUAAAGUUUUUAAUGAGAGGCAUAAAAAGUGAUUUUUUUUUCUUUUUUUUUUUUUUGAGACGGAGUCUCGCCCUGUCACCCAGGCUGGAGUGCACUGGCACCAUUAUAGCUCACUGCAGCCUCAACCUCUCAGGCUCAAGCGAUCCUCCCACCUCA